CCGCGCUCCUCCCAGUGCCCGGGACGGUGUCGGGGGCGGGCUGCACGGCGAGAAGGGCAAAAUAAAACCAGCCCGAGAGGCCCUGGCUGGGGUUGAGACUGCAGGAGUAACUUCUGCACCGAGGCAGCGCGCAGCCAGUCGGGGAAGAACUCUGCAACCUGACCGAAAGAAAGUCCGACCCUCUCGGGAGGGCUGCCAGGAUGCUGGAGCGAGUGUCAGGGUCCGAGACUCCCAAGUCGGGCGAGGGCUCCUGCCCCUGGCCAUUGGGUACCCCCCUCCGACCAACACCCCCGUCCCGCUUCAGAGCGUCGGCCCCACAGACCUAGAUGGGCAAGAUACCAAAUACUUUUCUUGGAAUACAUCAUCUUGAUUGAAAACUACUAGGAUAUUUUUGAAAAAAUAGCUCAUUAGCUGGCUGGGGGUCAAAGAUUUCUACCCUGUUGGAAGAAGCCACUGUUGAAGUGUGAAAGGCUACUCUGCUUUCUGCGUCCAUUUAACCUUUGGCCUGCCCUAAAGAGCCAGCCAAGUGUCAAUCAGGGCUGAUUGGGCACCUGUGCCUGGAAACAAGACAGAGAAAUUUAGCUCUUCCAGGUCAUCAAACCAUCUCCAGAUGGCAAAGAACUUCUGAAGUUAUGAACCUAACUUGCUUGUGAUGCAAAUUAGUGACCUAGGGUGAGAUGCUUCAUUAAUGCUUACUCCUGUGAGCCUCCAAGGUGUCAGAAGUUGGACUGCUUACUCUCACAUUUUUUUUUUGCUGUGUAAUGUGCAUUAAAAUAAUUUAUAUUCAUAGAGAUGGUCCAAUAAAUUGCAUAUGGCUAGUUAAUAAGCUGCUAAAGCAGAGAAGAAAAUUAGAUUUCAUUUAGAAGAAAACAAUAUUUGGCUUUCCCCAUGGAAAUAUGUGAAAAAGCUUUAGAAAAU
rnacentral:lncRNA from 1 species